UAGACUUUGGCUUUCGGCGCUAACGCAUUAAGUAGACCGCCUGGGGAGUACGGCCGCAAGGUUAAAACUCAAAUGAAUUGACGGGGGCCCGCACAAGCGGUGGAGCAUGUGGUUUAAUUCGAUGCAACGCGAAGAACCUUACCUACUCUUGACAUCCAGCGAAGCCUCCAGAGAUAGAGGGGUGCCUUCGGGAGCGCUGAGACAGGUGCUGCAUGGCUGUCGUCAGCUCGUGUUGUGAAAUGUUGGGUUAAGUCCCGCAACGAGCGCAACCCUUAUCCUUGUUUGCCAGCACGUAAUGGUGGGAACUCCAGGGAGACUGCCGGUGAUAAACCGGAGGAAGGUGGGGACGACGUCAAGUCAUCAUGGCCCUUACGAGUAGGGCUACACACGUGCUACAAUGGCAGAUACAGAGGGCAGCGAAGCUGCGAAGUAGAGCGAAUCCCUUAAAGUCUGUCGUAGUCCGGAUUGGAGUCUGCAACUCGACUCCAUGAAGUCGGAAUCGCUAGUAAUCGUGGAUCAGAAUGCCACGGUGAAUACGUUCCCGGGCCUUGUACACACCGCCCGUCACACCAUGGGAGUGGGCUGCACCAGAAGUAGAUAGCUUAACCUUCGGGAGGGCGUUUACCACGG
rnacentral:rRNA from 1 species